rnacentral:tRNA from 1 species
GGUGCUCGGGCGUGGGCCGGUAGGCAACGAAACCACCUGGUUGUGGUCCAGGCGGUCGGGGGUUCGAGUCCCCUCGCUCACCU